rnacentral:rRNA from 1 species
GAUGAACGCUAGCGACAGGCCUAACACAUGCAAGUCGAGGGGCAGCAUAGAGGUAGCAAUACUUUGGUGGCGACCGGCGCACGGGUGAGUAACACGUAUGCAACCUACCUGUAAGAGGGGAAUAACCCGGAGAAAUUCGGACUAAUACCGCAUAAAACCACGAAUCCGCAUGGAUUUGUGUUUAAACAUUUAUGGCUUACAGAUGGGCAUGCGUAUGAUUAGCUAGUUGGUAGGGUAACGGCCUACCAAGGCAACGAUCAUUAGGGGUUCUGGGAGGAAGGUCCCCCACACUGGUACUGAGACACGGACCAGACUCCUACGGGAGGCAGCAGUGAGGAAUAUUGGUCAAUGGGCGAGAGCCUGAACCAGCCAAGUCGCGUGAAGGAAGAAGGUUCUAUGGAUUGUAAACUUCUUUUGUAAGGGAAUAAAAAGAGUUACGUGUAACUUAUUGUAUGUACUUUACGAAUAAGGAUCGGCUAACUCCGUGCCAGCCGCCGCGGUAAUAC